CGGCUCAGAUUGAACGCUGGCGGCAGGCCUAACACAUGCAAGUCGAGCGGUAACAGGGGUAGCUUGCUCCCCGCUGACGAGCGGCGGACGGGUGAGUAAUGCAUAGGAAUCUGCCCGAUAGUGGGGGAUAACCUGGGGAAACCCAGGCUAAUACCGCAUACGUCCUACGGGAGAAAGGGGGCUUCGGCUCCCGCUAUCGGAUGAGCCUAUGUCGGAUUAGCUGGUUGGUGAGGUAAAGGCUCACCAAGGCGACGAUCCGUAGCUGGUCUGAGAGGAUGAUCAGCCACAUCGGGACUGAGACACGGCCCGAACUCCUACGGGAGGCAGCAGUGGGGAAUAUUGGACAAUGGGGGCAACCCUGAUCCAGCCAUGCCGCGUGUGUGAAGAAGUCCCUCGGGUUGUAAAGCACUUUCAGUGAGGAAGAACGCCUGGUGGUUAAUACCCAUCAGGAAAGACAUCACUCACAGAAGAAGC
rnacentral:rRNA from 1 species